CCUACGGGAGGCAGCAGUGGGGAAUAUUGGACAAUGGGGGGAACCCUGAUCCAGCCAUGCCGCGUGUGUGAAGAAGGCCUUUUGGUUGUAAAGCACUUUAAGCGAGGAGGAGGCUCCCAGUAUUAAUACUACUGGAGAGUGGACGUUACUCGCAGAAUAAGCACCGGCUAACUCUGUGCCAGCAGCCGCGGUAAUACAGAGGGUGCAAGCGUUAAUCGGAUUUACUGGGCGUAAAGCGUGCGUAGGUGGCCAAUUAAGUCAAAUGUGAAAUCCCCGAGCUUAACUUGGGAAUUGCAUUCGAUACUGGUUGGCUAGAGUAUGGGAGAGGAUGGUAGAAUUCCAGGUGUAGCGGUGAAAUGCGUAGAGAUCUGGAGGAAUACCGAUGGCGAAGGCAGCCAUCUGGCCUAAUACUGACACUGAGGUACGAAAGCAUGGGGAGCAAACAGGAUUAGAUACCCUGGUAGUCCAUGCCGUAAACGAUGUUUACUAGCCGUUGGGGUCUUUGAGACUUUAGUGGCGCAGCUAACGCGAUAAGUAGACCGCCUGGGGAGUACGGUCGCAAGACUUAAAACNCGAAAGGAUUGACGCGNGAGAGAGCGAGGACGACGACGAGGGGAGAGG
rnacentral:rRNA from 1 species